rnacentral:lncRNA from 10 species
AUGGGUGCUCAGCUGCGUAGGCGCGAUGGCCUUCUUUUCUUUCUGCAGGUGGCCUUGCGGUUUUCUCCAGUCCACAGCCGGGCUGGCGUCGGCCCAGAGAGGGGGGCUCGGCAGUCUGGUUCCCCGAGCGUCUCAUGGCGGGCCCUCGCCAGAUUCAAGGGGUUCCCUUGGCCAGUUUCCUUACGGCGCGGCGGAGCUGGCCCUCGUCGUCCCUGGUAGGGGGCAGCCUCACAGCCUGGACCGGCCUGUGCAAUUUCCCCCAUCCCUCCACGUCUACAUUUUAUUUUUUUCUUUUUCUUUUUUUAGGACAAUGCAUGAUGGAAAUGCAGCCACAUCAUAGCAGGCAGGUUCAUGAAAUCUGCCCUCCUCCCACCGUUUCUUGACCCCAUUUUCUUAUUUUUUUUUUUAACAGGUUCUCACCCAGGCUGGAGUGCAGUGAUGUGGUCUCAGCUCACUGCAACCUCUGCCUCCCGGGUUCAAGCGAUUCUGUUGCCUCAGCUUCCUGAGUAGCUGGGAUUACAGGUGUGCGCCACCACGCCUGGCUAAUUUUUGUACCUUUAGUAGUGACGAGGUUUCGCCCUGUUGGUCAGGCUGGUCUCGAACUCCUGACCUAAGGUGAUCCGCCUGCCUCGGCCUCCCAAAGUGCUGGGUCUAUAGGCAUAAGCCACCACACCCGGCCCUUGACCCCAUUUUCUGUCUUCCUAGAAAUCACCAAGGUUGCAACUCCUGACUGUCCUGGCUCACAGGCUCCAGCUUACUUAAGGACCCCACGGUGGGGGCUGCCCACUUGCACACCUAUGCUAGGCGCCCUCAUUCCCGCAAGGGCCAGAGCCCCUUCCCGGCCCAUGGCGUCUGGCCAAGGAGGUGUGGGUGCGCCCCAGCCAGGCCUGGUCCUAGAGGACGGCCCCACCUGCGCACUGGGGCAUCUGGGAGAGCUAUUAGUGGAAGAAGCCCAGGUUCCUGAAGCACCAAGUGGGCAAGAGUUUAUUUUCAGGAUGGGACGCUUUUGAGGGUGAAUAAGUGCUAGCUGUAUGGGAUGCGGGGACAGUACACAGGCCCGGCCUGGCAGCCGGGCAAUGCGGUGCCUGUUGGAAGGUCGCCCACAAGCACCUGGUUGGACACUGCCACUGAGAUUUGGUUAUUACAGAGGUUAGCCUAUGCGGGCCUUCACUGAUGGACCUUGAAGUGUUUCCCAGUUGCUUUGGGUUAGGAAUAAUGUGACUGGAUCCCGUGGAUUGUCUUUGUGCAUGCAUGUGGGUAUAUCUGUCAGAAAUAUUCUUAGAGGUGGAAUUGGCUAU